GAUGAACGCUGGCGGCGUGCCUAAUACAUGCAAGUCGAGCGAACGGACGAGAAGCUUGCUUCUCUGAUGUUAGCGGCGGACGGGUGAGUAACACGUGGAUAACCUACCCAUAAGACUGGGAUAACUUCGGGAAACCGGAGCUAAUACCGGAUAAUAUUUUGAACCGCAUGGUUCAAAAGUGAAAGACGGUCUUGCUGUCACUUAUAGAUGGAUCCGCGCUGCAUUAGCUAGUUGGUAAGGUAACGGCUUACCAAGGCAACGAUGCAUAGCCGACCUGAGAGGGUGAUCGGCCACACUGGAACUGAGACACGGUCCAGACUCCUACGGGAGGCAGCAGUAGGGAAUCUUCCGCAAUGGGCGAAAGCCUGACGGAGCAACGCCGCGUGAGUGAUGAAGGUUUUCGGAUCGUAAAACUCUGUUAUUAGGGAAGAACAUAUGUGUAAGUAACUGUGCACAUCUUGACGGUACCUAAUCAGAAAGCCACGGCUAACUACGUG
rnacentral:rRNA from 1 species